UACAGAGGUCUCAAGCGUUGUUCGGAUUCAUUGGGCGUAAAGGGUGCGUAGGCGGCGUGGUAAGUCGGGUGUGAAAUCUCGGAGCUUAACUCCGAAACUGCAUUCGAUACUGCCGUGCUUGAGGACUGGAGAGGAGACUGGAAUUCACGGUGUAGCAGUGAAAUGCGUAGAUAUCGUGAGGAAGACCAGUGGCGAAGGCGGGUCUCUGGACAGUUCCUGACACUGAGACACGAAGGCCAGGGGAGCAAACGGG
rnacentral:rRNA from 1 species